CCUACGGGAGGCAGCAGUGAGGAAUAUUGGUCAAUGGGCGCGAGCCUGAACCAGCCAAGUAGCGUGAAGGAUGACUGCCCUACGGUUUGUAAACUUCUUUUAUAAAGGAAUAAAGUGAGGCACGUGUGUCUUUUUUGAUUUACUUUAUGUAUAAGGAUCGGCUAACUCCGUUCCAGCAGCCGCGGUAAUACGGAGGAUCCGAGCGUUAUCCGGAUUUGUUUGGUUUAAAGGGAGCGUAUCUGGGUUGUUAAGUGAGUGGUGAAAGUUUGCGGCUCAACCGUAAAAUUGCAAUUGAUACUGGCAGACUUGAGUACAGUUGAGGUAGGCGGAAUUCGUGGUGUAGCGGUGAAAUGCUUAGAUAUCACGAAGAACUCCGAUUGCGAAGGCAGCUUACUAAACUGCCACUGACAUUGAUGCUCGAAAGUGUGGGUAUCAAACAGGAUUAGAUACCCCUGUAGUC
rnacentral:rRNA from 1 species